GAUGAACGCUGGCGGUAUGCUUAACACAUGCAAGUCGAACGAAAUCUUCGGAUUUAGUGGCGGACGGGUGAGUAACGCGUGAGAAUCUGGCUCUAGGUCUGGGACAACCACUGGAAACGGUGGCUAAUACCGGAUGUGCCGAGAGGUGAAAGGUUAACUGCCUAGAGAUGAGCUCGCGUCUGAUUAGCUAGUAGGUAGUGUAAUGGACUACCUAGGCGACGAUCAGUAGCUGGUCUGAGAGGACGAUCAGCCACACUGGGACUGAGACACGGCCCAGACUCCUACGGGAGGCAGCAGUGGGGAAUUUUCCGCAAUGGGCGAAAGCCUGACGGAGCAAUACCGCGUGAGGGAGGAAGGCUCUUGGGUCGUAAACCUCUUUUCUCAGGGAAGAACACAAUGACGGUACCUGAGGAAUAAGCAUCGGCUAACUCCGUGCCAGCAGCCGCGGUAAUACGGAGGAUGCAAGCGUUAUCCGGAAUGAUUGGGCGUAAAGCGUCCGCAGGUGGCAAUGUAAGUCUGCUGUUAAAGAGUCUAGCUCAACUAGAUAAGAGCAGUGGAAACUACAUAGCUAGAGUACGUUCGGGGCAGAGGGAAUUCCUGGUGUAGCGGUGAAAUGCGUAGAGAUCAGGAAGAACACCGGUGGCGAAGGCGCUCUGCUAGGCCGUAACUGACACUGAGGGACGAAAGCUAGGGGAGCGAAUGGGAUUAGAUACCCCAGUAGUCCUAGCCGUAAACGAUGGAUACUAGGCGUGGCUUGUAUCGACCCGAGCCGUGCCGUAGCUAACGCGUUAAGUAUCCCGCCUGGGGAGUACGCCGGCAACGGUGAAACUCAAAGGAAUUGACGGGGGCCCGCACAAGCGGUGGAGUAUGUGGUUUAAUUCGAUGCAACGCGAAGAACCUUACCAAGGCUUGACAUGUCGCGAAUCUUCUUGAAAGGGAAGAGUGCCUUCGGGAGCGCGAACACAGGUGGUGCAUGGCUGUCGUCAGCUCGUGUCGUGAGAUGUUGGGUUAAGUCCCGCAACGAGCGCAACCCUCGUUUUUAGUUGCCAGCAUUAAGUUGGGCACUCUAGAGAGACUGCCGGUGACAAACCGGAGGAAGGUGGGGAUGACGUCAAGUCAGCAUGCCCCUUACGCCUUGGGCUACACACGUACUACAAUGCUCCGGACAGAGGGCAGCAAGCAUGCGAAUGCAAGCAAAUCCCGUAAACCGGAGCUCAGUUCAGAUCGCAGGCUGCAACUCGCCUGCGUGAAGGAGGAAUCGCUAGUAAUUGCAGGUCAGCAUACUGCAGUGAAUUCGUUCCCGGGCCUUGUACACACCGCCCGUCACACCAUGGAAGCUGGUAGUGCCCGAAGUCAUUACUCCAACCAUUCGUGGAGGAGGAUGCCUAAGGCAGGACUGGUGACUGGGGUGAAGUCGUAACAAGGUAGCCGUACCGGAAGGUGUGGCUGGAUCACCUCCUUU
rnacentral:rRNA from 1 species